CCUACGGGGUGCAGCAGUGAGGAAUAUUGGUCAAUGGACGGACGUCUGAACCAGCCAUGCCGCGUGCAGGAAGACGGCUCUAUGGGUUGUAAACUUCUUUUAUAAAGGAAUAAAACGAGGCACGUGUGCCUUUUUGCAUGUACUUUAUGAAUAAGGAUCGGCUAACUCCGUGCCAGCAGCCGCGGUAAUACGGAGGAUCCGAGCGUUAUCCGGAUUUAUUGGGUUUAAAGGGAGCGUAGAUGGGUUGUUAAGUCAGUUGUGAAAGUUUGCGGCUCAACCGUAAAAUUGCAAUUGAUACUGGCAGUCUAGAGUACAGUUGAGGUAGGCGGAAUUCGUGGUGUAGCGGUGAAAUGCUUAGAUAUCACGAAGAACCCCGAUUGCGAAGGCAGCUUACUAAACUGUGACUGACAUUGAUGCUCGAAAGUGUGGGUAUCAAACAGGAUUAGAUACCCGGGUAGUC
rnacentral:rRNA from 1 species